GGAUGGUACUGGAGUAGGAGCUGAGCAUUCUAUAGGCAACAGAAGGGAGUGUGUGUCACAAUGGGUGUAGCUUAAACAUAUAUGACCUCAAAACCCAUGUCUAUAGUGACAUGCUUCCUCCAACAAGGCCACACCUAGGCCACACCACAACAGCUGUACUGCCUUGUAGAGCUACUCCCUAUGGCCAACUAUUCAAAUGUUUGAGUCUAUGGGGGCCAUUCCUAUCAAAUAGCCAUAUCAAGCAACUGUUAUUUUAUAUUUCUACCAAUCAUAUGCAUGUAGGACUCAAGGGACAACUUUUGGGAGUCAGAUCUCUCCUAUGAUAUAUGUUCUGGGGAUAGAACACAGAUUGUCAGUUUUGGUUGCAAGUACUUCAACUCUCCGAUACAUCUCACCAAUCUAGUUUAUAUAAUGCUAGCAUUCCUUCUAGUCUCCGCUUCAGGUACCUGGCAACAGCUAGCACAAAGUAAACCAUGUGGAAAACAAUCUGAAAAGAUGCUGUGGGAGCACCAAGUUCUUUUGUCAAAGACAUUUCAAUUAUUAGUUCAUCAACAUAUACACUAAAAAGUAGAUUCUUCCUCAGUCAACAGAACUGAAAGGAGAACCAUCCAGUUUUGUGGAAUCUGCACAAGCUGAAGCCUCAGAGAACACAAGAAAAAUAUUGAAGGAAAUGAAUGAGUUGAAUCUGAAGACUCUAGACCAGAAACAAAAAUAUUUUGAGGCUUCUUUGAGAAAAUUGACUGAUUAGAGAGACAAGGAUACACAAAGCUAAUUGUAGAGCAAGAGGAGACAUUUAAGAGUAAGCUUCACAAACAAGAACUAUUCAAUGAAAAAAAAUCCGUAAACCAAAUAAACAAUAUCAGGAAGAAAUUAG